rnacentral:rRNA from 1 species
CGCCGCGUGCGGGACGAAGCCUUUCGGGGUGUAAACCGCUGUCAGUGGAGAAGAGUAGGGACGGUACCCACUGAGGAAGCAUCGGCUAACUACGUGC